CUGAGUCAACCUCGGCUUCACCCAGCAGCAGAGUGUUUCAUAAGCAGGCGGAUGGCACUUCUGUGGCUUUGAGGGAGUGCUUCAUCCCACUAAAUCCUGUGCGGUUUUCAGAAGAAAUGUUGGUUGCCAUGGAAAAAGUUUCUCCAUCGGCUCUUGGCGAUGUUCCCACAGGCAACGUGGUAAUUUUUAACAAAAUAUUAACUAUCAGAUAAAUAGAUGUUGUUUUCUAUAAAUGCUGAUGAAUAUUGUUUUUGUAGUUUUUUCAGAGACCUGUGAGACAUCGCAAGAAUCCAGCUGUCUUGAAGACCAGGCGGGUUAGACAGCAGGAUUCACCCAUGCCGUGCAUGACAGACACUGCAGGUGUGGAGCCCCCUCCUCGUAAGAAGAAGGCAGAGACGGCACAUGACAGGGUGCUUGUCUGUGAUGUUCAGCGUUCUCCCUGUCCUGGGGAAACGUCCGAGGGUCCUGCUGCUGCUCUUGCUCCUGUUGCCGGUGCGAUGCCUGGUGGUGCAGCAAUCCAGGUAUGUAUCUGUAGUAAGUUUGUUAAAGAACCAUGUCUUGUUAAACAUUUAGCAUUAUA